rnacentral:rRNA from 1 species
ACGAUGAUGCCAGCUUGCUGGUGGAUUAGUGGCGAACGGGUGAGUAACACGUGAGUAACCUGCCCUUGACUCUGGGAUAAGCCUGGGAAACUGGGUCUAAUACCGGAUAUGACCGACUAUCGCAUGGUGGUUGGUGGAAAGCUUUUGUGGUUUUGGAUGGACUCGCGGCCUAUCAGCUUGUUGGUGGGGUAAUGGCCUACCAAGGCGACGACGGGUAGCCGGCCUGAGAGGGUGACCGGCCACACUGGGACUGAGACACGGCCCAGACUCCUACGGGAGGCAGCAGUGGGGAAUAUUGCACAAUGGGCGCAAGCCUGAUGCAGCGACGCCGCGUGAGGGAUGACGGCCUUCGGGUUGUAAACCUCUUUCAGUAGGGAAGAAGCGAAAGUGACGGUACCUGCAGAAGAAGCGCCGGCUAACUACGUGCCAGCAGCCGCGGUAAUACGUAGGGCGCAAGCGUUAUCCGGAAUUAUUGGGCGUAAAGAGCUCGUAGGCGGUUUGUCGCGUCUGCCGUGAAAGUCCGGGGCUCAACUCCGGAUCUGCGGUGGGUACGGGCAGACUAGAGUGAUGUAGGGGAGACUGGAAUUCCUGGUGUAGCGGUGAAAUGCGCAGAUAUCAGGAGGAACACCGAUGGCGAAGGCAGGUCUCUGGGCAUUAACUGACGCUGAGGAGCGAAAGCAUGGGGAGCGAACAGGAUUAGAUACCCUGGUAGUCCAUGCCGUAAACGUUGGGCACUAGGUGUGGGGGACAUUCCACGUUUUCCGCGCCGUAGCUAACGCAUUAAGUGCCCCGCCUGGGGAGUACGGCCGCAAGGCUAAAACUCAAAGGAAUUGACGGGGGCCCGCACAAGCGGCGGAGCAUGCGGAUUAAUUCGAUGCAACGCGAAGAACCUUACCAAGGCUUGACAUGAACCGGAAAGACCUGGAAACAGGUCCCCCACUUGUGGUCGGUUUACAGGUGGUGCAUGGUUGUCGUCAGCUCGUGUCGUGAGAUGUUGGGUUAAGUCCCGCAACGAGCGCAACCCUCGUUCUAUGUUGCCAGCACGUGAUGGUGGGGACUCAUAGGAGACUGCCGGGGUCAACUCGGAGGAAGGUGGGGACGACGUCAAAUCAUCAUGCCCCUUAUGUCUUGGGCUUCACGCAUGCUACAAUGGCCGGUACAAAGGGUUGCGAUACUGUGAGGUGGAGCUAAUCCCAAAAAGCCGGUCUCAGUUCGGAUUGGGGUCUGCAACUCGACCCCAUGAAGUCGGAGUCGCUAGUAAUCGCAGAUCAGCAACGCUGCGGUGAAUACGUUCCCGGGCCUUGUACACACCGCCCGUCAAGUCACGAAAGUUGGUAACACCC